CCUCUCGCGUCAGGAUAUGCCUAGGUGGGAUUAGCUAGUUGGUGAGGUAAGGGCUCACCAAGGCGACGAUCCCUAGCUGGUCUGAGAGGAUGAUCAGCCACACUGGAACUGAGACACGGUCCAGACUCCUACGGGAGGCAGCAGUGGGGAAUAUUGCACAAUGGGCGCAAGCCUGAUGCAGCCAUGCCGCGUGUGUGAAGAAGGCCUUCGGGUUGUAAAGCACUUUCAGUCGUGAGGAAGGUAGUGUAGUUAAUAGCUGCAUUAUUUGACGUUAGCGACAGAAGAAGCACCGGCUAACUCCGUGCCAGCAGCCGCGGUAAUACGGAGGGUGCGAGCGUUAAUCGGAAUUACUGGGCGUAAAGCGCAUGCAGGUGGUUUGUUAAGUCAGAUGUGAAAGCCCGGGGCUCAACCUCGGAAUAGCAUUUGAAACUGGCAGACUAGAGUACUGUAGAGGGGGGUAGAAUUUCAGGUGUAGCGGUGAAAUGCGUAGAGAUCUGAAGGAAUACCGGUGGCGAAGGCGGCCCCCUGGACAGAUACUGACACUCAGAUGCGAAAGCGUGGGGAGCAAACAGGAUUAGAUACCCUGGUAGUCCACGCCGUAAACGAUGUCUACUUGGAGGUUGUGGCCUUGAGCCGUGGCUUUCGGAGCUAACGCGUUAAGUAGACCGCCUGGGGAGUACGGUCGCAAGAUUAAAACUCAAAUGAAUUGACGGGGGCCCGCACAAGCGGUGGAGCAUGUGGUUUAAUUCGAUGCAACGCGAAGAACCUUACCUACUCUUGACAUCCAGAGAACUUUCCAGAGAUGGAUUGGUGCCUUCGGGAACUCUGAGACAGGUGCUGCAUGGCUGUCGUCAGCUCGUGUUGUGAAAUGUUGGGUUAAGUCCCGCAACGAGCGCAACCCUUAUCCUUGUUUGCCAGCGAGUAAUGUCGGGAACUCCAGGGAGACUGCCGGUGAUAAACCGGAGGAAGGUGGGGACGACGUCAAGUCAUCAUGGCCCUUACGAGUAGGGCUACACACGUGCUACAAUGGCGCAUACAGAGGGCGGCCAACUUGCGAAAGUGAGCGAAUCCCAAAAAGUGCGUCGUAGUCCGGAUUGGAGUCUGCAACUCGACUCCAUGAAGUCGGAAUCGCUAGUAAUCGUGGAUCAGAAUGCCACGGUGAAUACGUUCCCGGGCCUUGUACACACCGCCCGUCACACCAUGGGGAGUGGGCUGCAAAAGAAGUAGGUAGUUUAACCUUCGGGGGGACGCUUACCACUUUGUGGUUCAUGACUGGGGGUGAAGUCGUA
rnacentral:rRNA from 1 species